GACGAACGCUGGCGGCGUGCUUAACACAUGCAAGUCGAACGGAAAGGCCCUGCUUUUGUGGGGUGCUCGAGUGGCGAACGGGCGAGUAACACGUGAGUAACCUGCCCUUGACUUUGGGAUAACUUCAGGAAACUGGGGCUAAUACCGGAUAGGAGCUCCUGCUGCAUGGUGGGGGUUGGAAAGUUUCGGCGGUUGGGGAUGGACUCGCGGCUUAUCAGCUUGUUGGUGGGGUAGUGGCUUACCAAGGCUUUGACGGGUAGCCGGCCUGAGAGGGUGACCGGCCACAUUGGGACUGAGAUACGGCCCAGACUGCUACGGGAGGCAGCAGUGGAGAAUAUUGCACAAUGGGCGGAAGCCUGAUGCAGCAACGCCGCGUGCGGGAUGACGGCCUUCGGGGUGUAAACCGCUUUCGCCUGUGACGAAGCGUGAGUGACGGUAAUGGGUAAAGAAGCACCGGCUAACUACGUG
rnacentral:rRNA from 1 species